rnacentral:ncRNA from 2 species
UGAUGAAACUCUGGAAAGUCCCACAUGGGCGCCGAAGAAGAAAAACAUUUUAUUAUGUUAAAACUUUCAGGUAAACAUACAGAGAUAUGAAG